rnacentral:misc_RNA from 1 species
AUUGCAUCAUACAACUGGAAUGCAACCCAUCUUUGAAAUCACAAAACUUUUGUGGUUCUAAGGAGGUAGUGCUUAAUACACACAUUUCACUUGCUUUUCAUAGUGGAAGGUGUAACAGAAACAGGAAGAAAAUAAAAUUAUAACCCUAAUCUAUCUUUUGUUUAAAUUAUUCUUUCAACUCCAUACUCUUCUAAGUUUAAAAUUUUUGCAUCUAAGAAAAGAAUGGAACAAUCUCAAAAA